rnacentral:rRNA from 1 species
UACGGAGGGUGCAAGCGUUAUCCGGAUUCACUGGGUUUAAAGGGUGCGUAGGCGGGUUGGUAAGUCCGUGGUGAAAUCCCCAAGCUUAACUUGGGAACUGCCGUGGAUACUAUCAAUCUUGAAUAUCGUGGAGGUAAGCGGAAUAUGUCAUGUAGCGGUGAAAUGCUUAGAUAUCUGGAGGAACACCGGUGGCGAAGGCGGCAUCCUGGACCAACACUGACACUGAGGAGCGAAAGCCAGGGGAGCAAACGGG